rnacentral:rRNA from 1 species
GGUUAAGCGACUAAGCGUACACGGUGGAUGCCCUGGCAGUCAGAGGCGAUGAAGGACGUGCUAAUCUGCGAUAAGCGUCGGUAAGGUGAUAUGAACCGUUAUAACCGGCGAUUUCCGAAUGGGGAAACCCAGUGUGUUUCGACACACUAUCAUUAACUGAAUCCAUAGGUUAAUGAGGCGAACCGGGGGAACUGAAACAUCUAAGUACCCCGAGGAAAAGAAAUCAACCGAGAUUCCCCCAGUAGCGGCGAGCGAACGGGGAGCAGCCCAGAGCCUGAAUCAGUAUGUGUGUUAGUGGAAGCGUCUGGAAAGGCGCGCGAUACAGGGUGACAGCCCCGUACACAAAAAUGCACAUAUUGUGAGCUCGAUGAGUAGGGCGGGACACGUGGUAUCCUGUCUGAAUAUGGGGGGACCAUCCUCCAAGGCUAAAUACUCCUGACUGACCGAUAGUGAACCAGUACCGUGAGGGAAAGGCGAAAAGAACCCCGGCGAGGGGAGUGAAAAAGAACCUGAAACCGUGUACGUACAAGCAGUGGGAGCACGCUUAGGCGUGUGACUGCGUACCUUUUGUAUAAUGGGUCAGCGACUUAUAUUCUGUAGCAAGGUUAACCGAAUAGGGGAGCCGAAGGGAAACCGAGUCUUAACUGGGCGUUAAGUUGCAGGGUAUAGACCCGAAACCCGGUGAUCUAGCCAUGGGCAGGUUGAAGGUUGGGUAACACUAACUGGAGGACCGAACCGACUAAUGUUGAAAAAUUAGCGGAUGACUUGUGGCUGGGGGUGAAAGGCCAAUCAAACCGGGAGAUAGCUGGUUCUCCCCGAAAGCUAUUUAGGUAGCGCCUCGUGAACUCAUCUCCGGGGGUAGAGCACUGUUUCGGCAAGGGGGUCAUCCCGACUUACCAACCCGAUGCAAACUGCGAAUACCGGAGAAUGUUAUCACGGGAGACACACGGCGGGUGCUAACGUCCGUCGUGAAGAGGGAAACAACCCAGACCGCCAGCUAAGGUCCCAAAGUCAUGGUUAAGUGGGAAACGAUGUGGGAAGGCCCAGACAGCCAGGAUGUUGGCUUAGAAGCAGCCAUCAUUUAAAGAAAGCGUAAUAGCUCACUGGUCGAGUCGGCCUGCGCGGAAGAUGUAACGGGGCUAAACCAUGCACCGAAGCUGCGGCAGCGACGCUUAUGCGUUGUUGGGUAGGGGAGCGUUCUGUAAGCCUGUGAAGGUGUACUGUGAGGUAUGCUGGAGGUAUCAGAAGUGCGAAUGCUGACAUAAGUAACGAUAAAGCGGGUGAAAAGCCCGCUCGCCGGAAGACCAAGGGUUCCUGUCCAACGUUAAUCGGGGCAGGGUGAGUCGACCCCUAAGGCGAGGCCGAAAGGCGUAGUCGAUGGGAAACAGGUUAAUAUUCCUGUACUUGGUGUUACUGCGAAGGGGGGACGGAGAAGGCUAUGUUGGCCGGGCGACGGUUGUCCCGGUUUAAGCGUGUAGGCUGGUUUUCCAGGCAAAUCCGGAAAAUCAAGGCUGAGGCGUGAUGACGAGGCACUACGGUGCUGAAGCAACAAAUGCCCUGCUUCCAGGAAAAGCCUCUAAGCAUCAGGUAACAUCAAAUCGUACCCCAAACCGACACAGGUGGUCAGGUAGAGAAUACCAAGGCGCUUGAGAGAACUCGGGUGAAGGAACUAGGCAAAAUGGUGCCGUAACUUCGGGAGAAGGCACGCUGAUAUGUAGGUGAAGUCCCUUGCGGAUGGAGCUGAAAUCAGUCGAAGAUACCAGCUGGCUGCAACUGUUUAUUAAAAACACAGCACUGUGCAAACACGAAAGUGGACGUAUACGGUGUGACGCCUGCCCGGUGCCGGAAGGUUAAUUGAUGGGGUUAGCGCAAGCGAAGCUCUUGAUCGAAGCCCCGGUAAACGGCGGCCGUAACUAUAACGGUCCUAAGGUAGCGAAAUUCCUUGUCGGGUAAGUUCCGACCUGCACGAAUGGCGUAAUGAUGGCCAGGCUGUCUCCACCCGAGACUCAGUGAAAUUGAACUCGCUGUGAAGAUGCAGUGUACCCGCGGCAAGACGGAAAGACCCCGUGAACCUUUACUAUAGCUUGACACUGAACAUUGAGCCUUGAUGUGUAGGAUAGGUGGGAGGCUUUGAAGUGUGGACGCCAGUCUGCAUGGAGCCGACCUUGAAAUACCACCCUUUAAUGUUUGAUGUUCUAACGUUGACCCGUAAUCCGGGUUGCGGACAGUGUCUGGUGGGUAGUUUGACUGGGGCGGUCUCCUCCUAAAGAGUAACGGAGGAGCACGAAGGUUGGCUAAUCCUGGUCGGACAUCAGGAGGUUAGUGCAAUGGCAUAAGCCAGCUUGACUGCGAGCGUGACGGCGCGAGCAGGUGCGAAAGCAGGUCAUAGUGAUCCGGUGGUUCUGAAUGGAAGGGCCAUCGCUCAACGGAUAAAAGGUACUCCGGGGAUAACAGGCUGAUACCGCCCAAGAGUUCAUAUCGACGGCGGUGUUUGGCACCUCGAUGUCGGCUCAUCACAUCCUGGGGCUGAAGUAGGUCCCAAGGGUAUGGCUGUUCGCCAUUUAAAGUGGUACGCGAGCUGGGUUUAGAACGUCGUGAGACAGUUCGGUCCCUAUCUGCCGUGGGCGCUGGAGAACUGAGGGGGGCUGCUCCUAGUACGAGAGGACCGGAGUGGACGCAUCACUGGUGUUCGGGUUGUCAUGCCAAUGGCACUGCCCGGUAGCUAAAUGCGGAAGAGAUAAGUGCUGAAAGCAUCUAAGCACGAAACUUGCCCCGAGAUGAGUUCUCCCUGACUCCUUGAGAGUCCUGAAGGAACGUUGAAGACGACGACGUUGAUAGGCCGGGUGUGUAAGCGCAGCGAUGCGUUGAGCUAACCGGUACUAAUGAACCGUGAGGCUUAACCUU